GAUUUUUCGAAAACGUUUCCAAUUUUAUAUAAAGCUUCCAUUUUCGGAAACUUCCAAACUUAUUUUCAUUUCUUUCCCUUCUGGGAAACCAUUGUCCCUUUCUCUCUCUUCCUCCCGCGUUCAAGACCGACGGAACUGGACGAAUUUCGUCCGGUUAGUUCUUCCUCCUCCGGCCACCAAUCCUCACCAAACUUCUUCCAUUGGCUUCGUAUGGUCCUUGCGCACCCGUCUGUGGUGGCCUUGCAUGGCGGCGCGGCCUGUAGCGGCGGUGGUGAUCUUGUUUCGAUUUGAGUUCGAUUUUAGGCAACGUCUGUUUUCUCCUAGCUCCGGCCACCAAAACUUCCGAUCCUUAGCUCCAUGAACUCGCCUCAACUUGCUGAUCAUCAUAGUAGAAUGAUCGCACCUGAAGUGACCGGUUUCACGUUCGUCGGAGCUCGGUCGGUUUUCGAUCCGAAACCAAAAUCUUUCGAUCGGGAUAUCUCGAGCUGUAGUGCAUCGUUUUGAUUGAUUCUUGAUCCAGUGGGUUCGCCUUGAUGUUCUUAACAACUCUCUGGAAGGAAUCGAAGCCUGAAAUUGAAGUUUUUAAGUCAAAAUCAUGUUCGCCGGUUUCUGCAUUUUCUCGCCGGUUUCUGGAAAUUUUCCGGCCACCUUCAUACUGUUCAAGGUGAUUGACGGUCUUCCUUGGUGAGCAGUUUUGGUGUGUUUUGUGAAAUUGAAGACGCAGUGGGAUUAGAGAGGGUAGAAUUGUAGUGCUCUGAGAACUGGGAGUCCGAAGACCGCCGGUUAGAUAAUAACCGAGAUGCAGUGCUCCGAGGACUGGGGAAAAGUCUGAAGACCGCCGGUUAAAUAAUAACCGAGAUGUAGUGCUCUGAGGACAGGGGAAAAGUCCGAAGACCGCCGGUUAAAUAAUAACCGAGAUAUAGUUGGAUCCAAACAGUUGGGAUGGACCAAAGUAGUGAUAUUGUGGAUUAGAGGAUUGUGGAAAUGAAUUCGUUGUGGAUUUUCCGUGUUUUGGUUUGAUGUUUCCUUACAGAUGUUGAGAUUGUUGGUUGUUUACUUGAGUUAAAAGAAAUAUGAUUUAAAAUCAACAUUCCCUUCUUAUUUACUCACGAGCUGUCAAAAGCUUACCGGGUUUGGUGUUGUUGCAAUCCCGGUACACUAUUCAAAUUGUGUAGCGGGUAGUCUUGCAGGUCAGGUGAAUCGAGAAGGUGAUCAGGCUGCUUAGAGUAGUGGGAUUGGAGUUACAGCUUUAUUGUGAGGUUUUCAUUUAAAUUUGGAGAGAGUGUGUUGUAAUAUUAAAUUCUUGAGGAUUUGGUUUAUGUAUUAGUGAGUGAGGCGAGGUGUGUUUAUCUCUGAGAAAAAAAUUCAGAACGUUUAUUUGAUUAAGUUGUUUAAUUCA